GACGAACGCUGGCGGCGUGCCUAAUACAUGCAAGUUGAGCGAUGAAGAUUGGUGCUUGCACCAAUUUGAAGAGCAGCGAACGGGUGAGUAACGCGUGGGGAAUCUGCCUUUGAGCGGGGGACAACAUUUGGAAACGAAUGCUAAUACCGCAUAAUAACUUUAAACAUAAGUUUUAAGUUUGAAAGAUGCAAUUGCAUCACUCAAAGAUGAUCCCGCGUUGUAUUAGCUAGUUGGUGAGGUAAAGGCUCACCAAGGCGAUGAUACAUAGCCGACCUGAGAGGGUGAGCGGCCACAUUGGGACUGAGACACGGCCCAAACUCCUACGGGAGGCAGCAGUAGGGAAUCUUCGGCAAUGGACGAAAGUCUGACCGAGCAACGCCGCGGGAGUGAAGAAGGUUUUCGGAUCGUAAAACUCUGUUGGUAGAGAAGAACGUUGGUGAGAGUGGAAAGCUCAUCAAGUGACGGUAACUACCCAGAAAGGGACGGCUAACUACGUG
rnacentral:rRNA from 1 species